UCCUGGGGGAGGGGGUGUAGGGGGCGGAGGGGGAGGGUGAACGAUGUUUCUUUUUUUUCGUUUAGUUUAAAAAUGUUUCGUGCUGUGAUUUGCUAUGUAGUGUUGAGCCUUCAUAAUGUAUCGUCUUUGUAUUCUUUUUUAUGGGUGGCGUGUUUUACCAUGUCUUGAAGGGCGCGGUGGAAUUUUCUGACGUUACUGAACCUAGAAAUAAAUAAUAUGUUCUCUGACGUUCCUAACAAUAAGCUUUGAUAUUGUCGAUAGAGGUUUGUUUUGAUCAAACGUUUAUUAGGGACCAGCCCUGACCAGGAGUUACGUUAUUAGCAAUGAUGUCCCUCGAUCUUGCUCUUGCUCUUGCUGUACAUGUGACCCGUUGGAGUGAAUGAACAGCAGAGGGAGGUGUGGAAGCAAGAGGUUGAAAGCAGGAGGGAAUUUCUGCUGGAUUUCUCGACCCAUUUCCUGGCUUCUCUCUUCCGCCCGAUUUCGCCACGAGACUCCCUGACUGACAAUUUUGACAUCGCCCUGCCAAAGAAGACAAGGGGAAGGAAGAAGCAGCAGCCAUCAGAGGAGGAGGAGGAGGAGGAGGAGGGAGGAAGAAGAGCCAGGUUUCGCUCCUCCACUGGAUCUCCUCAAAGGACCGACCGAGAGAGUGACGUCCGGCAAAUCGCUCAGCAGUGCUUUCGAGGGCUCUCCCAGCUCUGAAGAACGAAGGAAGAACAGAAGAAAGGAAGGAAGGAAGGCCAUCUUGGAAGACUCAAGAACCAGUCACCCCAGUCCAAGGAAAGGUCACAAGAGGUCACAGUACGAAGGAGCAGUCCAGUCCGUUGUAAAGUUAUUGGAAAAGGAAGGGAAGGGAAAGGAUUGGAAAGGGAAGGGAAGGAAAGGAUAGGAAAGGGAAGGGAAGGGAAGGAACAGAGAAGUGUAUAUAUAGUUAAGCUUAAAGUCACAUACAGUUAGAUGCAUACAGUUACACUCACAUAGAUUUACAUACAGUUUUGAUGGUGCGUUUGACGAAGGCGGUUGACUCAGUGGGUAGCGGAUUGGCCCGGCCCACGGUGUUAUGGAGGCUCUCAACACAAGUACAGUAAACCCUCGAUAUAACGGACUAAUUUAUUUAUUUAUUUAUUUAUUUUUUUUCCACAUCAGAGGACACAUCUCAAGGGCAAUAAAGAGUCCCCAAAAAGCCCGCUACUCGCCGCUCCUGUAAAAGAUAAGAGUAAAGAGUAGCCAAAAGAGAGGUCAAUUUCGGGUGGAGAGGUGUCUUGAUACACACUCAAUUUGGGGGGAACUUAGUCCGUUAUAAGCGGCGAAGAUUUAAAAAAAACGUAAAAUAACAAAACGACGAAGGAGUAAACGUAGGUAUAGAUAUAUUUUUUAUUGUGUAUGUUGUGUGCACGUUGUCUAUAGGGCCGCACAGCACACUUGGCGACGCACUCCGAGGCACUGAGGUUGCUAGGUUGUGAGUGGGGUCUUGCGUGGGGGUCAUAUUGUUACGGGUAUGGGUAGGAUUUUACAAGUGCAGCGAGUAGCAGGCUUUUUUUUUUAUUAUUGUUUACUUUUUGUGUGCCCUUGAGCUGUCUCCUCUGCGCCAAUCUCACACUGGCAGAUGAAACUUUUUUUUGUAGUGUUUGGUGUGUUAUGAAAUAAUGUGCUAACUGUUUCUGUCACAAAGAAUUAAAUGAUUGCCUUUUCAAUGCCUGGUGUACACAGCACCUGUAAAAUAACUUGCAGAGAGAAAUGUUCAGCUUGCUUACAGUUUCUAUAUUUCACACCGGGUUCAA